GGCUACCAGCGCAAAGCCGAAACUCGCCCGCAAAGAGGCUCAGGAGGGGGUGAGUCCGCUGCAGCGGACCCUGGGAAAGCGAGUUGACGCCACUGCAGCCUUUUGAAGAGGAAAAGCGGAGACCCUCAGCUACAGAUCUUCGAAAUUUCUUACAUGACUUCUGAUCUUCACAACUGUGCAAUCCAUUUUUAAAACGGGAAAAAGACUCAGAAAUCAGAAGUUGUACGUCGAGUCGCUUAUUCACCAUAUUUCAUUGUCUUGAUAGCAUCACUAGAACGACCUACCGAAGAAAGUACCGUUUGAGUCUCCAUCCUCGUGCUUCUGCUGCUGUUGCUGCUGCUGUUGCUGCUGCUCCCUCAGCUGCAAGGACUCCUGACAAACGUAAAUGGUUAGCCUUGGGCGCACCAUCCUAGGGAGGAAAAAACAAAAGCUGUUACUCAAAUUCUUCACGGUGAGCACAUUUUAAGGAAGAACUUGUGUGUCUACAUCAAUGCUAUAGAGCAGGGGUUGAAAACUGGCAGCCCUUGAGCCAGUGCAGCUCAUUUGCUCUGUUUUAUUAGCUCCCCACUGAUUGUGUGUGUGUGUGUGUGUUUAACUGAAUUCAUUCCAACAGAAGCCCUCAUAUAAACCUCUGGUUCUCCUUGAAAAAUCAGAUCUGGUGAUCCAAGGCCCUCAUUCUUACAAAACACCCAAUCAGCUGUUCUACUUGCGUGGUGCAUGCGUUCUUCAGUACACCCCAGACUUGACUGUCACUCAGUUACAUGUGGUCUCUGUAGUCAUUUGAGUUUGUAACGUUUGAUGUAAAGGUUAGAAAGAUUCAAAAUGUGUGAGCCACUGUUUUGUGGGUCAGUUAAAGACAUACCUUCUAUUGAUACUUAAAAGUACCAAUACGAUAAACUAGAAAAUCUUAUUUCCCUCAUUAUCUUCUCCUAAGCAUCUUUAGCCUUCUGUUCUUUCUUCUUAGACAACAAUAUUGAAUUACCUCUUGCUCUGAUCAUCUUAUUCCUUCCUAUUUCUAAAUGCUCUGUAGGUAAUACUUUUUUUUUUAUAAAUUUAUUUAUUUUUGGCUGUGUUGGGUUUUCGCUGCUGCGCGCGGGCUUUCUCUAGUUGCGGCGAGCAUGGGCUACGCUUCGUUGCAGUAUGCGGGUUUCUCAUUGUGGUGGCUUCUCAUUGCGGAGCAUGGGCUCUAGACACGCGGGCUUCAGUAGUUGCGGCACGCGGGCUCAGUAGUUGUGGCUCACGGGCUCUAGAGCACAGGCUCAGUAAUUGUGGCACACGAGCUUAGUUGCUCCACGGCCUGUGGGAUCUUCCCAGACCAGGGAUCGAACCCAUGUCCCCUGCAUUGGCAGGCUGACUCUCAACCACUGCGCCACCAGGGAAGCCCCUCUGUAGGUAAUACUUUUAAAAAUGAAAGAUCCAUUCUUUUCCUCCCAGUCAUCAACCCUUGAAUUUCACCUCUUUCCUUAAAAGUUUCCAACUUGAUUCAAUUAUCUCUUGUAAUAUACACAAACACAAAUACUUCACAAUCUGUUUCAUUAUUUAGUCACUGAUUUGGUUCUAUGGCACUGACCUGUAUGUUUUUUCCAUCAAUAUUACUACUUCCUAUUUUAAACUGUAAAUCCCAGAGACUAGAAAUUCCUCUGUAUUACAUGUAAUAUUUGUAAGCAGACACUUAAGCAAUUCCUACCGAAACUUAAGAAUAAUCUCUUCUCUAAUAAAACUCAGUUCAGGACCUUUGCACCCACUGUUUCUCCUGCAUAGAAUGUUCUUCCCUCAUGACUCCAAAGCUUCCGUCCUUCUCAUAACUCAGUUUAAAUGCCCCCUCCUCAGAGAGGUCUUUCCUGACUAUAUUCUGAGUACUCUGUAGGCCACAACCUUGUUUUUGUUUAUUUGUUUGUUUUGUUUUCCUUUGAAAUACUUAUCACUAUUCAAAAUACUUAUAGUUUAUAAUCUUUAUCUCUCUCCCCAUCAGAAAGCUCAUCAAUGUAUCACCAAAGCCUAAUGGCUCAUAACAGGGACAAUGGAUAUUUAAUUGAAUGAAAAAAGCUAAUGAAAAAUGGAAUAUCAUGAGGAAUUCCUUGGAUCAAGUACAGGAAAAGAUACUUUUCAUCUUUAUUUGGCACAUAGCUGGCAUUCAAAAAGAAUGUUUCGACAAGAUGUAUUUAGCUGUACAAAAAGUAUUGUGAAGAGUCCCUGAAUCCAAAUCCAUUUGAAAUCCAGCCCCACUGAUAUUUUAACACUAAUUACAUACCGGCCUUUUAAUGCAUUAAAAAGUCUGAUUCCAUCUGCAGGGCCACAGAUUUGAAUCACAUCAUCUCUAGUUAGUUUCAAUAAAUCUGCCCCUGGAAUAAAUAUAAGAAAAUGGGUGAUAAAGGCAAAGAUUCUCCUUGUUAAUGACUUAAAAUGGACUCUGUUACAAGGACACCUCAUUACUAGUAUGCUACAGUCAUCAUCUCUUGCGUGGCAUAUAAGGUCCUCCAUGACCUGGCCCCUGCAUCCUCUCCCACCUCCAUUCCCACCCAAUUAACUUAUUCAUUUAACCCGAUGCUUUCAUCCUGCUGAUCACACCUAAUGAGCAAGUUGUUCCUCCUGCCUGAAAUAUCCUUCCACUGUCUGACCAACAGGCUCUUCCUCAGCCCUCAAGAUUUACCUCACGCAUCACACAUCACACAUGUUCCCAAACUCCAGACCCUUACACUUAUCUAUUGCAUCACAACUAUUUGUUUACCUUUUUCAGGGUUUUAUUUUGAUUUGGGUUUUCUUUGAUACUAGAUGGUGACUGAUCAGGAAAUAUGCCUUAUCCAUGUGUGUAUUCCUACCAUACCUGGUACACAGAAGGUGCUAAUAAAUAAGAGUGGAAUAUGCAAAGAAAACAUAAUAUAGUGAUAUCAAGGGGAAAAUUUCCGACUACCUGCAAUGCUCCUUGAUAAAA